UAUUAUUAUCUCCACUUUGGAGGCCUGAACCUGAAACAGAGGUGAGCAUGCGCUCAGGCAGUGGUGGAGCUAGCAGCCAGCCCUGAGCAGCCUGACUCCAGCAUCCACAGCAGUGCCCUGCUUCUGCUCUGGGAACUGUGACAUGGAGCCUGUGGCCGCUAUCCUUCUCUUCAGCUUCAGUUACAGCCAAGAAAACAGAAAUUGAACUGAACAUUAUGAUGAAGAGAAUAAAGAAGGGUGAAGAAAAGGCUGGAGGUGGUACAUUCAAAAGUCUCCAAGUCCAAGAAAAGGCUGGACCUGAAGAUGGAAAGUCUGCUGACCAAGAAAGGAGUGUUGCUCAGUUCAAGUUCGGCCCAUGUUUGCCAAGCUUCCAGGCACUGCUGCUGUUCCAUGUCUUUUGAUUCUGUCGCUCAAAGAGGCCUGACUCAUAGAACUCAGGACUACAGACCCUGCGACAAAUUAGACGGCCACAAAGCAGACCAGCCCCGUUUGGACUUUUUCUUUCUUUUUAAAGGAUAGGGGUUAGGUCCUUAUGAAUGAGUAUUCAACUCUUUUACUGUAUUCAGCCUUGUUCCAUAGUGAGUUAAUUUGGGCUUUUGUAUCCUGAAAUAUUAUCCUGCCUCUAAAAGAAUAAAUGCCUUGGCUGUUUCACACCA